rnacentral:rRNA from 1 species
UACAGAGGUCUCAAGCGUUGUUCGGAUUCAUUGGGCGUAAAGGGUGCGUAGGUGGCGCGCUAAGUCAGGUGUGAAAUCUCGGGGCUUAACUCCGAAACUGCAUUUGAUACUGGCGUGCUUGAGGACUGGAGAGGAGACUGGAAUUCAUGGUGUAGCAGUGAAAUGCGUAGAGAUCAGGAGGAACACCGGUGGCGAAGGCGGGUCUCUGGGCCGAUACUGACGCUGGAGGAAGCGAAAAGCGUGGGGGAGCGAACAGG